AUUUACAUAUUUACGAUAUCUUAAGGUAACAAUUAAAUUUACAAUUAAUAAUAAUAUAUUAUGAAUAAUGUGUUCAGAAGAGGAGAAAAAUAAAUUCUGACAACAGGGGAAAGUUAGAAGUGAACCACGUAGCUAGUUCAAAGUCAUUUGCAGAAAUUCGUCACAACAUGCGAGAUUCUGUCACUGGCUAGUCGCCCGGACCAGUAGACCUCUACAGAGGGACUCACUGUCGACAGGCGACGGGAUCUUGGGUACAUCCUAGAGCCGGCGAGAUUUGGGCGGCGAUGGACACCUUACGCAAUCAGCCCACUCCCGAUGGUACUCAACAGAGUGAGCUAGAGAUCCUGAGUGAGGUGCUUGGCACCCAUUCUAGAUAUGUGUGUGGGCUUGGCCAUGGUGUCAAGCUCAUGGCACCUGCUAGAGCUGCCUCCACCCGAUCCGUCGUUGUUGGCGAGAGCGCCACCUGCCGAGUUGAUAUCAUAGAGAAAGAGGUUCAGUAGCUAUAGGUCGUCGUCCAUGACAUCAUAGAGCAGUUGGAGAAGAAGAGUGAGCAGCUGGAGAGGCAGAUGGAGGAGCAAGAGAGGAGGAUGGAGGAUCUGACGAGGCGGAGGGAGGAGCAGGAGAGGAGGAUGGAGGAUCUGAUGAGGCAGAGGGAGGAGCAGGAGAGGAGGAGGAUG